CCUACGGUGAGCAGCAGUCGAGAAUCAUUCACAAUGGGGGAAACCCUGAUGGUGCGACGCCGCGUGGGGGAAUGAAGGUCUUCGGAUUGUAAACCCCUGUCAUGUGGGAGCAAAUUAAAAAGAUAGUACCACAAGAGGAAGAGACGGCUAACUCUGUGCCAGCAGCCGCGGUAAUACAGAGGUCUCAAGCGUUGUUCGGAAUCACUGGGCGUAAAGCGUGCGUAGGCUGUUUCGUAAGUCGUGUGUGAAAGGCGCGGGCUCAACCCGCGGACGGCACAUGAUACUGCGAGACUAGAGUAAUGGAGGGGGAACCGGAAUUCUCGGUGUAGCAGUGAAAUGCGUAGAUAUCGAGAGGAACACUCGUGGCGAAGGCGGGUUCCUGGACAUUAACUGACGCUGUGGCACGAAGGCCAGGGGAGCGAAAGGGAUUAGAUACCCGGGUAGUC
rnacentral:rRNA from 1 species